rnacentral:rRNA from 1 species
GACGAACGCUGGCGGCGUGCUUAACACAUGCAAGUCGAACGAAGUGGCGAACGGGUGAGUAACGCGUAAUCAACCUGCCCUUCAGAGGGGGACCACAGUUGGAAACGACUGCUAAUACCGCAUACUGAAGGAGGGGAUUGCGUAUGAUUCGGUAGUUGGAGGGGUCACGGCCCACCAAGGCGAUGAUCAGUAGCCGGUCUGAGAGGAUGAACGGCAACAGUGGGACUGAGACACGGCCCAGACUCCUACGGGAGGCAGCAGUGGGGAAUCGUCCGCAAUGGACGAAAGUCUGACGGAGCAACGCCGCGUGAGUGAUGACGGCCUUCGGGUUGUAAAGCUCUGUUAAGCGGGACGCGGUACCGGAAUAGAAAGCCACGGCUAACUACGUGCCAGCAGCCGCGGUAAUUC